rnacentral:rRNA from 1 species
UUCCCCCCSUAWRARRKUUUKKGWWUAUGGCUCAGAUUGAAACGCKAGCGRGAUGCCUUACACAUGCAAGUCGAACGGCAGCACGGWCUUCGGUCUGGUGGCGAGUGGCGARCGGGUGAGUAAUGUAUCGGAAYGUGCCCAGUAGCGGGGGAUAACUACGYGAAAGCGUAGCUAAUACCGCAUACGCCCUACGGGGGAAAGCAGGGGAUCGCAAGACCUUGCACUAUUGGAGCGGCCGAUAUCGGAUUAGMUAGUUGGUGGGGUAACGGCUCACCAAGGCGACGAUCCGUAGCUGGUUUGAGAGGRCGACCAGCCACASUGGGASUGAGACACGGCCCAGACUCCUACGGGAGGCAGCAGUGGGGAAUUUUGGACAAUGGGGGAAACCCUGAUCCAGCCAUCCCGCGUGUGCGAUGAAGGCCUUCGGGUUGUAAAGCMCUUUUGGCAGGAAAGAWACGUCGSGGGUUAAUACCCCGCGGAACUGRCGGUACCUGCAGAAUAAGCACCGGCUAACUACGUGCCAGCAGCCGCGGUAAUACGUAGGGUGCAAGCGUUAAUCGGAAUUACUGGGCGUAAAGCGUGCGCAGGCGGUUCGGAAAGAAAGAUGUGAAAUCCCAGAGCUUAACUUUGGAACUGCAUUUUUAACUACCGAGCUAGAGUGUGUCAGAGGGAGGUGGAAUUCCGCGUGUAGCAGUGAAAUGCGUAGAUAUGCGGAGGAACACCGAUGGMGAAGGCAGCCUCCUGGGAUAACACUGACGCUCAUGCACGAAAGCGUGGGGAGCAAACAGGAUUAGAUMCCCUGGUAGUCCACSCCCUAAACGAUGUCAACUAGCUGUUGGGGCCUUCGGGCCUYGGUAGCGCAGCUAACGCGUGAAGUUGACCGCU